GGUCUCGCUCCGUUCUCGUCCCGCUUCAAAUGGCGAGAGUCGGGCGAGAGUCCCCCUUGUUCGCUGCCGCUCUCGCCUGACUCUCGCGUUGACUCACCCAUCCAAAGUUAGCCACUCAUUACCAUCAUUAUUGAUUUUUGACGAAUGCAUUCGAUAGUUCGUCAAUUGUUCUUGAUUGUUCGAGGAUUUUCAGCGUUUGUUCCCCAGCCAAUUAUUUCUAAUUGAUUUUUUAUUUUUUCCUCCCAUGUUUCCUCAAUUUAGCCCCUCCCACGUAAAGAUCUAAUCAUUUUAAAUUGUUCCUUCUGAUGAAUCGUUUGUUCGUCGUUUGUUCCUCCCUAAGACACUGCUGAGGUAAUCGAUAGGUUGAUCCUUUCAAUUGAUUUCCUCUCAAUCGUUAAAAGAGUGGCAUAUACUAUAGCACCAAAUUUUACUACCAGCAGCUAUAGUUCGUGAUACGCUGAUGCUGUAUGUAUGUACAUGGAGUAUCAUUUCGGAGCAGAGAUCUUCAACUUUGUGUGAUAAAUCAAUCUAUCGAUUGUUCCAUUAAUGUAAUCAUACUGUUCCCUAAUUUAUCAUCACCAAUUAUUAUUGGUGAUUAUACUUUAUUCCCCCUCUGUGAGCUCGAACUAGUGGUAUUUCGAUGAUCAAAAAGUGCAUCAGUGUUGACAUUAACCUCAAUCCAGUGCGGUAGUAGUGCAUGACGAUUCAAUAAACUAAAUAAAAUUUCGGGAAGGGUCUGGUGAACAGUCGAAAAAUCAUCCCUUUUUGCAUUCAACUUCUAACAAGCAGCUGUUUUAUGAACUAUCGAACUUCCUGUAACAAUGGGUAUUUUUCUGGAUGUGGCUCUCGAAUUAUUAUUUGGAACGUGGUUGGAGAAGAGGAAUGAAAAACACGAAAAAUGCAUCAUGAAACAUUGAAAGACUCGGGGAGUUUGAAAAGCAUAUAAUUUAUUUAUGUAAAACCGGUUCACUUCGCUCCGAAUUCAAUGAAAUAAUACUUGGAAACCUAUCUGUUAAAUGUCAAUUCAAGUUUUUAUUCUGUCUUUGACUGAGUGUAUGAAAACAAAUGAGUAUCAUUCUACUAAUAAAUACAAUCAUGUGAAAA